rnacentral:rRNA from 1 species
CUAUACAUGACUCUGCGCAUAUCAAUAAGCGGAGGAAAAGAAACUAACAAGGAUUCCCUCAGUAACGGCGAGUGAAGCGGGAAGAGCUCAAAUUUGAAAUCUUGAAAGGUCACCUUUCACGAAUUGUAGUUUAAAGAAGUGUUUUCUGUUACGAUCGUAAUAUAAGUACUUUGGAAUAGGACAUCACAGAUGGUGAGAAUCCCGUCUAUGAUUGCGAUUUGUAGCUUUGUGAUACACUUUCAAAGAGUCGGGUUGUUUGGGAAUGCAGCCCAAAACGGGAGGUAAAUUUCUUCUAAGGCUAAAUAUUGGCGAGAGACCGAUAGCGAACAAGUACCGUGAGGGAAAGAUGAAAAGAACUUUGAAAAGAGAGUUAAAUAGUACGUGAAAUUGUCAAAAGGGAAGCGUUUAACACCAGUGUUGUUUUCUGAAAAUCAACCUCUGUUAGCUUUAUGCAUGUUUGCUUAGACCUAAUCAGCUAUCUUGCAUGUUCUAUUGUUUGCAGUGGUGCACUUUUCAGUUUACAGGUCAACAUCAGUUUUUUUUACCGUAAAAAAGUUAAAGAAAGGUAGCUCAUGGCUCCGGUCGUGAGUGUUAUAGUCUUUUUCCUAUGCGGUAGGAGAGACUGAGGUCUGCAGUGUAGGCUAUUUGGCUAGAUACUCAGGUGCUAUGUGAUACCAUUUCAUAAACAACUUGUUGAUUAUGUUUUGUCUAUUGCAUACUCGCUUGUACUAUCAUACCUACGCUUAGGAUGUUGAGUCGUAGAGCACGCAG